UACGGAGGGUGCGAGCGUUGUCCGGAAUCACUGGGCGUAAAGGGCGCGUAGGCGGUUCUUCAAGCGUGUGGUGAAAGUCCGGGGCUCAACCCCGGAUCGGCCGUGCGAACUGGGGGACUCGAGCACUGUAGAGGCGGGUGGAAUUCCGGGUGUAGCGGUGGAAUGCGCAGAUAUCAGGAGGAACACCAAUGGCGAAGGCAGCACUCUGGGACGUGACUGACGCUGAGACGCGAAAGCGUGGGGAGCAAACAGG
rnacentral:rRNA from 1 species